GACGAACGCUGGCGGCGUGCCUAAUACAUGCAAGUAGAACGCUGAAGGAGGAGCUUGCUUCUCUGGAUGAGUUGCGAACGGGUGAGUAACGCGUAGGUAACCUGCCUGGUAGCGGGGGGUAACUAUUGGAAACGAUAGCUAAUACCGCAUAAUAGCAGUUGUUGCAUGACAACUGUUUGAAAGGUGCAAUUGCACCACUACCAGAUGGACCUGCGUUGUAUUAGCUAGUUGGUGGGGUAACGGCUCACCAAGGCGACGAUACAUAGCCGACCUGAGAGGGUGAUCGGCCACACUGGGACUGAGACACGGCCCAGACUCCUACGGGAGGCAGCAGUAGGGAAUCUUCGGCAAUGGACGGAAGUCUGGCCGAGCAACGCCGCGUGAGUGAAGAAGGUUUUCGGAUCGUAAAGCUCUGUUGUAAGAGAAGAACGAGUGUGAGAGUGGAAAGUUCACACUGUGACGGUAUCUUACCAGAAAGGGACGGCUAACUACGUG
rnacentral:rRNA from 1 species